UUCCUUUGUUUAUUUUAAUUUUUUUUAUGUAUAUGACUCCUGUGUUUUUCUAUUUUUUAUUAUUUUGCAGAUUGAUUUAUAUGAAAAUACUGGACACUACUGUGAGAACUGAAUUGAAGUUCAUGGCUGCAGUUAUAAUUCAGGUGAACUACAGGAAAAGGACUGCCAGUCAAGGAGAUUUAGAAAAUGUGUGGCGGAGCAGUGGAUUACCCUGUACCUGGCAAAAUGGAGACAGAGACCGUGAGGAGAUACACCAGCCAGUGAAUCCAGCUGUCUUCCCGGUCUGACCAUGGUGCUGUUGGCUACUGCCUUGGGGACCGGAAGGCCUUUUCUGAAUUUCACUGUGGAGAUCCAUAAGUACAGCUUGAUUGUCCCUGUCGAGUGUGUGCUUGGCUUGCUCUCCAGCUUGCAUGGCUCUGCUGAUUACUGGCAGCUUGAAAUUGUCCUGAAAGAGAAUGAGUGCUCUUGAUUAAUCCCCAUGCACAGUAUCAACAUAUUAUUGAUUCAUUAUCAGCACGUCGUGUUUCAUUUCUCUGCCACAGGGAUGGGCUGAAGGCAAAUGUGACCUCAAAACAGAUGCAACCCGACGAACAUCUAGGUUGGGUAGCGAACAUUCUUAUUUUGGGUAAAGUUCUUUUACUACAUAAAUUGCCUACUAAAUUCUAGCCUGCCUUGUGUAGAAGACAGUCCUGACAGACGCUGACAAUGUUCCUCUUUUCUAGAGAAGAACUAGAGUUUAACAACUCCAGCUUAACAACUAUAAAGCAGUAUGGCUUAUUUUAUUAUGUAUGCGUUUCGUUAUACAAAAGCAAUAGACAAACAAGUUCUCUAAGUUAGAGUGCAUCAGAUAUUAAGCACUUUAUUAUUCAGCUUUCUUUUAUAUCACUGUUAAGUACAAGGCUUAACAUUGAUUUAUUCAUUAAUCAUUUAUUUAUUCAACAAUCCAUUUACUAAGACCUACUAUAUUGUAUGCUGGGCACCAGGAGUAUGAAGCUGAAAAGGCAUGGUUAGAUUCAGAGUUCACAGAAAGAAGAGGAGAU
ensembl:lncRNA